CGCGAUACAGGGUGACAGCCCCGUACACAAAAGCGCAUGUGCUGUGAGCUCGAUGAGUAGGGCGGGACACGUGAUAUCCUGUCUGAAUAUGGGGGGACCAUCCUCCAAGGCUAAAUACUCCUGACUGACCGAUAGUGAACCAGUACCGUGAGGGAAAGGCGAAAAGAACCCCGGCGAGGGGAGUGAAAAAGAACCUGAAACCGUGUACGUACAAGCAGUGGGAGCACCCUUUUGGGUGUGACUGCGUACCUUUUGUAUAAUGGGUCAGCGACUUAUAUUCUGUAGCAAGGUUAACCGAAUAGGGGAGCCGGAGGGAAACCGAGUCUUAACCGGGCGUUAAGUUGCAGGGUAUAGACCCGAAACCCGGUGAUCUAGCCAUGGGCAGGUUGAAGGUUGGGUAACACUAACUGGAGGACCGAACCGACUAAUGUUGAAAAAUUAGCGGAUGACCUGUGGCUGGGGGUGAAAGGCCAAUCAAACCGGGAGAUAGCUGGUUCUCCCCGAAAGCUAUUUAGGUAGCGCCUCGUGAAUUCAUCUCCGGGGGUAGAGCACUGUUUCGGCUAGGGGGCCAUCCCGGCUUACCAACCCGAUGCAAACUGCGAAUACCGGAGAAUGUUAUCACGGGAGACACACGGCGGGUGCUAACGUCCGUCGUGAAGAGGGAAACAACCCAGACCGCCAGCUAAGGUCCCAAAGUCAUGGUUAAGUGGGAAACGAUGUGGGAAGGCCCAGACAGCCAGGAUGUUGGCUUAGAAGCAGCCAUCAUUUAAAGAAAGCGUAAUAGCUCACUGGUCGAGUCGGCCUGCGCGGAAGAUGUAACGGGGCUAAACCAU
rnacentral:rRNA from 1 species